GGAGAGGUGGCAGAGCGGUUGAAUGCACCGGUCUUGAAAACCGGCAGGCCCUUGCGGGCCUCGUGGGUUCAAAUCCCACCCUCUCCGCCA
rnacentral:tRNA from 1 species